CACUUCCGUUUGGGGGAAGGCCCUGCGACGCUCCCCCUUCCGCGAGCGCGGAGUGCGCACGCGGCAAACUGGGAGGUGGUUUCGGGGGACGGAGUCGGUGGCCGGCUGAGCUUCGAUGAAUUUCUUUGUCUUGGUCGCUGGCCGCGGCGUGCGCCGUGCGGAGGAGGUUCGCUGGCGGAGCUCUGUGUCUGCAUUUGCGGACAAAAGUUGUGGAAGAAAUGGCAAUAAACGCCAGCAGUUACAGAGCCAGUGCGGCCCCGGCAGCGAGAGUGGUGCCACCAAGCUCCUUCCCCAGGACUUCACUCAGCAUCUCAGCAUCCAGGUGCCAGAGCUUUGAAAUGUGUCUCACCAGCUUCACUGUACCUGCUCAGAGCACUGGCAACAGCUGAGUGGCGCUACCUCCUCCACCACAGUUGGAGUCCCGGCCCCAUGAGAAUUUCCUCUGGGUUCAGAGACACCAGCAGGUGACAUCAAUACUUGGCGCUUCUUCUGUGGCUCUGCAUGGCGCAUGGUUAUCCCCCUGUAAGACCUGUG